CCUACGGGAGGCAGCAGUGGGGAAUUUUGGACAAUGGACGCAAGUCUGAUCCAGCCAUGCCGCGUGCGGGAAGAAGGCCUUCGGGUUGUAAACCGCUUUUGUCAGGGAAGAAAUCUUCUGAAUUAAUACUUCGGGAGGAUGACGGUACCUGAAGAAUAAGCACCGGCUAACUACGUGCCAGCAGCCGCGGUAAUACGUAGGGUGCAAGCGUUAAUCGGAAUUACUGGGCGUAAAGCGUGCGCAGGCGGUUAUGCAAGACAGGUGUGAAAUCCCCGAGCUCAACUUGGGAACUGCACUUGUGACUGCAUAGCUAGAGUACGGUAGAGGGGAGUGGAAUUCCGCGUGUAGCAGUGAAAUGCGUAGAUAUGCGGAGGAACACCGAUGGCGAAGGCAGCUCCCUGGACCUGUACUGACGCUCAUGCACGAAAGCGUGGGGGAGCAAACAGGAUUAGAUACCCUGGUAGUCCACGCCCUAAACGAUGUCAACUGGUUGUUGGGAGGGUUUCUUCUCAGUAACGUAGCUAACGCGUGAAGUUGACCGCCUGGGGAGUCGGCCGNAGGUUGAAACUCAAAUGAAUUGACGGCUGGAGAGAGCGAGGACGACGACGAGGGAGGAGG
rnacentral:rRNA from 1 species